CCCCAGCAGAGGCGCCUGACGGGCAGGGGCAGGGACCACAGGUCGCCAGGGAGCAUCGCAGAGUCGGCAAGGAGUGGAGGGGGCUUGCGGAGGGGGAGGAGGCGGAGCUGGCCGACCGCAGCCCAGAGUCCAGCACUUCGGAGCGCGGCCCCUCACCUCGCCGGCAGCGGGACCCCGCGCCAGCAUCGGACGAACCCGAUGGAGGCUUCAGGAAGCUGUACUCAGAGCUGCGCAGUGAGAAUGAGAGGCUUCGGGAGGCCCUGACCGAGACCACGCUGCGCCUGGCACAGCUCAAGGUGGAGCUAGAGCGUGCUGCGCAGAGGCAGGAGCGCUUUGCAGAGAGACCAGCCCUUCUGGAGCUGGAGAGAUUCGUGAGUAGG